rnacentral:rRNA from 1 species
GAUGAACGCUGGCGGCGUGCCUAAUACAUGCAAGUCGAGCGAACGGACGAUAAUCUUGCUUUUCUGAUGUUAGCGGCGGACGUGUGAGUAACACGUGUAUAACCUACCUAUAAGACUGGUAUCACUUCGGGAAUCCGGAUCUAAUACCGUAUAAUAUUUUGAACCGCAUGGUUCAAAAGUGAAUUACGGUCUUUCUGUCACUUAUCGCUGGUUCCGCGCUUCAUUAUCUAGUUGGUAAGUUAACGGCUUACCAAGGCAACUAUGCGUAGACGACGGGAGAGGGGGAUAGGCGACAUGGGAACUGAGACAGGGUCAAGACGACUAAGGGAGGCAGCAGUAGGGAAUCGGAGGCAAUGGGCGAAAGCAUGACAGAGCAACGGGGCGUGAGUGAUGAAAGUCUUGGGAUCGUAAAACUCUGUUAUUAGGGAAGAACAGAUGUGUAAGUAAAUGAGGACAGAGUGACGGUACUUAAUAAGAAAGCAACGGCUAACUACGUG